rnacentral:lncRNA from 1 species
CAGAAAAUACCUCAUCCCUACUGUAAAACAUGGAGGUGGAUCUUUGAUGUUUGAAUGAAAAGCACGACUGUUGGUAUGACAUCCUACACUACUUGCUGGAGCUGGGGGAGGAUUUAAUGUCCUCACAGAUCAGAAACAUCUCCCUCCUGACCAGAGUGACUGAGGAUGGAUCUUGUCAAGAGGAGCGUCAAGACGUCAUACUGCAGUGGGCUGAGGAACUGAAUCACUCACCACAGACUGGACAGGACAAUGACCCAACACACCUCAAGGCUGUGUAAGGGCUAUUUUACCAAGAAGGAGAGGGAUGUAGUGCUGCAUCAGAUGACCUAGCCUACACAAUCACCCGACCUCAACCAAAUUGAGAUGGUUUGGGAUGAGUUGGACUGCAGAGUGAAGGAAAAGCAGCCAACAAGUGCUCAGCAUAUGUGGGAACUCCUUCAAGCAUUCCAGGUGAAACUGGCUGAGAGAAUGCCAAGAGUGUGCAAAGUUGUCAUCAAGGCAAAGGGUGGCUACUGUGAAGAUUCUCAAAUAUAAAAUAUAUUUUGAUUUGUUUAACACUUUUUUGGUUACUACAUGAUUCCAUAUGUGUUAUCAAAUCAAAUUUUAUUGGUCAAAUACACAUGAUUAGCAGAUGUUAAUGCGAGUGUAGCGAAAUGCUUGUACUUCUAGUUCUGACCAUGCAGUAAUAUCUAACUGUCACGUCCUGACCAGCAGAGGGAGUAAUUUUAUUUUAUUUGGUCAGGACGUGGCAGAGGGGUAUUUGUUUCAUAUGGUUCGGGUUGUGUGUGUUAUUUAAGGGGUGUUUGGUUUAUGUAGUCUGGGGUUUGAGUAUUGUUCUAGUGUUGGUUUUCUAUGGUUUAUCUAGUUGUUCUGUUUCUUUGUUAGUCUGUGUGGCUCCCGAUCAGGAACAGCUGUAUGUCGUUGUUCCUGAUUGGGAGUCAUAUAUUAGGAGUGUGUUUUUCAC